GCGGAUGUAGCCAAGUGGUUAAGGCAGUGGAUUGUGACUCCACCACUCGCGGGUUCAACUCCCGUCAUUCGCCC
rnacentral:tRNA from 1 species